UCUAGAGCCACCGUCCAGGGAGCAGGUAGCUGCUGGGCUCCGGGGACACUUUGCGUUCGGGCUGGGAGCGUGCUUUCCACGACGGUGACACGCUUCCCUGGAUUGCAGCCAGACUGCCUUCCGGGUCACUGCCAUGGAGGAGCCGCAGUCAGAUCCUAGCGUCGAGCCCCCUCUGAGUCAGGAAACAUUUUCAGACCUAUGGAAACACUUCCUGAAAACAACGUUCUUCCCCCUUGCCGUCCCAAGC
rnacentral:lncRNA from 1 species